rnacentral:rRNA from 1 species
AUUGAACGCUGGCGGCAGGCCUAACACAUGCAAGUCGAGCGGGUGAUGGGAGCUUGCUCCUGGAUUCAGCGGCGGACGGGUGAGUAAUGCCUAGGAAUCUGCCUGGUAGUGGGGGACAACGUUUCGAAAGGAACGCUAAUGCCGCCUACGUCCUACGGGAGAAAGCAGGGGACCUUCGGGCCUUGCGCUAUCAGAUGAGCCUAGGUCGGAUUAGCUUGUUGGUGAGGUAAUGGCUCACCAAGGCGACGAUCCGUAACUGGUCUGAGAGGAUGAUCAGUCACACUGGAACUGAGACACGGUCCAGACUCCUACGGGAGGCAGCAGUGGGGAAUAUUGGACAAUGGGCGAAAGCCUGAUCCAGCCAUGCCGCGUGUGUGAAGAAGGUCUUCGGAUUGUAAAGCACUUUAAGUUGGGAGGAAGGGUUGUAGAUUAAUACUCUGCAAUUUUGACGUUACCGACAGAAUAAGCACCGGCUAACUCUGUGCCAGCCGCCGCCGUAACAC